rnacentral:rRNA from 1 species
UACGGAAGGCAGCAGUGGGGAAUAUUGCACAAUGGGCGAAAGCCUGAUGCAGCUAUGCCGCGUGUAUGAAGAAGGCCUUAGGGUUGUAAAGUACUUUCAUCGGGGAGGAAAAACAAAACUAAUAAUUUUAUUUCUUGACGUUACCCGAAAAAGAAGCACCGGCUAACUCCGUGCCAGCAGCCGCGGUAAUACGGAGGGUGCUAGCGUUAAUCAGAAUUACUGGGCGUAAAGAGCACGUAGGUGGUUUUUUUAAAGUCAGAUGUGAAGUCCCUGGGCUUAACCUAGGAACUGCAUUUUGAAACUGAAAUACUAGAGUAUCGUAGAGGGAGGUAGAAUUCUAGGUGUAGCGGUGAAAUGCGUAGAUAUCUGGAGGAAUACCUGUGGCGAAAGCGGCCUCCUAAACGAAUACUGACACUGAGGUGCGAAAGCGUGGGGAGCAAACAGGGAUUAGGAUACC